AACGGUAACAGGAAGAAGCUUGCUUCUUUGCUGACGAGUGGCGGACGGGUGAGUAAUGUCUGGGAAACUGCCUGAUGGAGGGGGAUAACUACUGGAAACGGUAGCUAAUACCGCAUAACGUCGCAAGACCAAAGAGGGGGACCUUCGGGCCUCUUGCCAUCGGAUGUGCCCAGAUGGGAUUAGCUUGUUGGUGGGGUAACGGCUCACCAAGGCGACGAUCCCUAGCUGGUCUGAGAGGAUGACCAGCCACACUGGAACUGAGACACGGUCCAGACUCCUACGGGAGGCAGCAGUGGGGAAUAUUGCACAAUGGGCGCAAGCCUGAUGCAGCCAUGCCGCGUGUAUGAAGAAGGCCUUCGGGUUGUAAGGUACUUUCAGCGGGGAGGAAGGGAGUAAAGUUAAUACCUUUGCUCAUUGACGUUACCCGCAGAAGAAGCACCGGCUAACUCCGUGCCAGCAGCCGCGGUAAUACGGAGGGUGCAAGCGUUAAUCGGAAUUACUGGGCGUAAAGCGCACGCAGGCGGUUUGUUAAGUCAGAUGUGAAAUCCCCGGGCUCAACCUGGGAACCGCAUCUGAUACUGGCAAGCUUGAGUCUCGUAGAGGGGGGUAGAAUUCCAGGUGUAGCGGUGAAAUGCGUAGAGAUCUGGAGGAAUACCGGUGGCGAAGGCGGCCCCCUGGACGAAGAC
rnacentral:rRNA from 1 species